rnacentral:rRNA from 1 species
AUGCUGCUGCUGCACGGGCUGACGGGGAAGAACAAGCAGACGUGGAAGGAGGGCAAGAUCCGUGGCAUGGCGGUGCUGGUCAAGAGCGGCAUGCUCGACCUCGGCGACUUCAACUCAUCAUUCCUCGACGGCGUCCACAAGAUCCUCGACGGCCAAGGACGAUGGCGUCUCCUUCCAUCUCGUCAGCGCCACUACACCCAACCCCCGGAGAUGAAAUCAAUGAUGGCAGGGGAGUCAGUUUUUCCGGGUCACAUUUGA